GCCAUAUUGUUGUUCCAUAUGUCCAUUUCUAUUAUUUUAAAUAAUUUUUUUGGAAUACAUAAUACAUAUACAUGGCACAAAUUCAAAAUGUAAAAAAAAACAAACCCAAAACAACAGUCAUGUAAUAGGUCAAUAAUGUGCCCUCAGAAAGAUGUCCAUGCCCUAAUAUUCGGGUCCUAUGAACAUGUUAUAUGGUGAAAGGGACUUUCAGAUGUAAUUUAGGUUGUGAACUUUAUGAUAGGGAGAUUUUCCUGGACUAUCAAGGUGGGCCUAAUCUGGUCAAAUUUUCUUAGGCUCUAGUUGGAGAGCUGCUGGAAAAGAGGAAGGCCCAGAGAUUCUCACUGGGUGCAUGAUCAGACCAGGUCUGCCGGGAGAAGACAAUCUGGAAUGUGGUGGCCUAGAGGCUCCAUGACUGGCUUCUGGCUGACAACCACCAGCAAUCCGAAUUUAGCCAACAACCUAAAUGAGCUGAAACUUAAGAUUCUUUCCCAUAGUUUCAGGGAGAGAUGAGGCCGGCUGACACCUUGAUUCCAGCCUCCUGGAACCCUGAGUAGAGAUAUCAGUGGAUCCAAACCAGACCUCUGGUUAUGAAAGAGUACAUCUGUAUUGUCUUAAGUCAUGAAGUUUUCCCUAAUGGAGAGAAAACCAGCCUAAGUAAAAAGGAUUGAAGAAAGAACUAAGACCUUUCUGAUGGUUAAGAUUGUAAACCUGUGGGUGCUCUUGGAAGCUGUGGAGAAAGAGAGGCUAUACAAAUGGAAAUGAAUCCCCCUCCCACCCUCAUAUGUAAUGCCUGGAAGACAACUGGAGAAGACAAUUUUAGGAGCUUAAAGGACAUUUGUUCAUCAUUUGCAUUUCCCAGGAUUUCAGGUGACGUGCAGCAUUUGUGA
rnacentral:lncRNA from 12 species